UUAGGUACCCAUUUAUUCCGACGCAAACUUUGCUGCGGAAGCUGCUUGAGUACUACGAGUGCUUAAAACUCAAAGAAUUUGGCGGCUCGUUAACUACCUAGGGGAAUAUGUGCCUUAAUCCGAUGAUACCCGUUAUAUCUUACUGCACCUUGAAAAAGAACAGUUGGUGUAUUGCCGUUGUCAGCUUGUUGUCAGAGCAAAAGG
rnacentral:rRNA from 1 species